rnacentral:misc_RNA from 1 species
UUGUGGUAAGACACUGCAAAAAUGACAGCAAAAACUCCAAAAGAAUACAAGGCCAGAUGUUUUCCAAAACUCUAUUUGAUGUAUUGAGAGACCCACUUGAAGCCAUCACCAUAUCCCAUCUUGCGGACGAUACUGCACAUGAAAACUUCAAGGGGGCGAACAUUGGAGUCUGUUAGAUUCACCUUCCCCUUGCCAGUUGUGAA